rnacentral:rRNA from 1 species
GCGGACAAAAUGAUUUAGGUAACUCUGAGCUAAAAAACAAAUAAAUCAAAACUUUAACAACGGAUCUCUUGGUUUGGCAUCGAUGAAGAACGCAGCAAAAUGCGAUAAGUAAUGUGAAUUGCAGAAUUCAGUGAAUCAUCGAAUCUUUGAACGCACAUUGCGCCCGCCAGUAUUCUGGCGGGCAUGCCUGUUCGAGCGUCAUUUCAACCCUCAAGCCCCCGGGUUUGGUGUUGGGGAUCGGGCUGUACUCCAGCCCGGCCCCGAAAUCUAGUGGCGGUCUCGCUGCAGCCUCCAUUGCGUAGUAGCUAACACCUCGCAACUGGAACGCGGCGCGGCCAAGCCGUUAAACCCCCAACUUGAGAAUCAGACCUCGAGCCGAUGCCGCAUAUCAAUCAGCGGUUGA